rnacentral:tmRNA from 1 species
GGGGGCGUAACGGCUUCGACGGGUUGGUACAAGUUUGAGAAGGCGUGUCGGGUUCCGAGCUCCCGUUAAACGAUCGGAAAAUCACAACUGCCAAUAAUCAGCAGUUUGCUUACGCUGCCUAAUUUUAGGUAGCCGCUCUGGGUUACGAGUCCGCGCGUAAUUUAAGAGUGUAAUUUUGCGGAAUAGGCCGAGAGCUUCUGUCCGGAGCAGCAGGUCGAGAUUAAUCGGGCUAGGCGGCCGAGGAUUUUGCCGAUUCAGAAUCGGUUGCCGAAACAACAGAAUCGAGCUACACACGUAGGCUUUUCAGGUUUGGCUUUCUCGGACGCGGGUUCAACUCCCGCCGCCUCCACCA